rnacentral:rRNA from 1 species
AUUGAACGCUGGCGGAAUGCUUUACACAUGCAAGUCGAACGGCAGCACGGGAGCAAUCCUGGUGGCGAGUGGCGAACGGGUGAGUAAUAUAUCGGAACGUGCCCAGUAGUGGGGGAUAGCCCGGCGAAAGCCGGAUUAAUACCGCAUACGACCUGAGGGUGAAAGCGGGGGAUCGCAAGAACUCGCGCUAUUGGACCGGCCGAUAUCAGAUUAGCUAGUUGGUGGGGUAAAGGCCUACCAAGGCAACGAUCUGUAGUUGGUCUGAGAGGACGACCAGCCACACUGGGACUGAGACACGGCCCAGACUCCUACGGGAGGCAGCAGUGGGGAAUUUUGGACAAUGGGCGCAAGCCUGAUCCAGCAAUGCCGCGUGCAGGAAGAAGGCCUUCGGGUUGUAAACUGCUUUUGUCAGGGAAGAAAUCUUCUGGGUUAAUACCUCGGGAGGAUGACGGUACCUGAAGAAUAAGCACCGGCUAACUACGUGCCAGCAGCCGCCGUAA